UUUAGUGCCAAUGAUUUUACUUGCGCUGCAGUUUUAAAAUAAAUUAAGUAAUUUUGAACCUUUUUCAUUAGUUACUGUUUUUAAAGGCCCUGUUGCAGUCAAUGUGAUUUUCCUGUGUAUUAUAUAUAUUUCCACCAUGAGGUUGGAAUAAUACUGGAAAAUAUUGAUAAUGCCCUUUUAGUGUAAGAGCUGCUUGAAAGAAACCACCUGAAAUUUCAGCCUGUUUUGUGGGAUGGAGUUUUGACCUAAAUUAGUUAAUAGAUCAAUAUAAAAGAGUUCCAAACCACUAUGCCAGCUAGUUUUCAGUUUUCCCCUCCUUACUCAGACCACUCCCAGACAGUCCUAGAAAAAUUCUUGCUUGAGAAAUUGGCCUUUGCUAAGAAGUAGUGCUGGGGAAAUGAAGCUUCCUGAAUCAGAUGAUUUGCAUCCAAUUGUGUCAAAUAGGUUCGACACAAUUUUUGGACGUUAUUGAUGACGUGCUUCUGACAAAGUGAAUACAAGCGUCGGCACACUCCUUCGAAGUACAUGGCUUAGUGAUUUCAAUGCAUGGUUUCUGGGCUCCGUUAUCAAACAUAACAUCACUACUAAGAAGUGAUUUCUGCUUAUUUUGGACCAUUUUAAUUGAAAACAAUCACAGUAAGCUGCUGUGCCAACCGUGCCCCGGUGGCUCUCUGCAGCGUGGGGGCAAGGAGGGAUCAGCAUGCCGCUACCAGUAAUACGGAACACAAGGCCCAUGGGCAGGGCAGGACAGUCUGGCCCAGGAGGACCCUGAGAUGUGGGGCCUGCUGCGGAAAGAGGACAGACAGUGCAGCUCACCGCUUCAGAGGUAAACUGAGCUGUCAGGCUGGCACUGUCAGUUUAGUAAUUACAAGACACACUUAGGCCUAAUCCCAUUCACUUUCAAUCGGUGGCUGUAUGUACCAAAAGUCUCAGUGUAGGAGAGCUGAUUUAGGAUCAGUUUAGCCUUUUAGAUCACAAUGAAUACAAUUACAUGGACAAGGGGACCUGAACCUAUAUCAGCACUCCUACUCUGGUACACUUGAUAGCCUACAUAUGACCCCAUCAUAAAUUGACGUUCACACAGGCAGCCCAAUUCUGAUCUUGUUUCCACUAA
rnacentral:lncRNA from 13 species